GGUGAGGUUUUGGGCCAAAACGUCGAGCAGUGCUGCGUGUUUCUCUGCCUCCUCCACCAGAGGGAUCUUAGAGUCCACCCAAGCAAAGUCCUGAACCUUCUUCGCCAGAGGAGACCUGGCGCCGUCCAGCUGAGCCGCCAGACGCUCGUAUUCCUGACGGACAAACAGUUUUCAAAACCCUACCUAAAAAAUCCAACUAAACCCUGACCCUCUAUGAAUGGAACCAGAACAUUAGAAAUCCAAGAGCAUGGACAGCACGUCGUUGACCUGCGCCACGUCGUCUUCAGCCAUGUUCAGCUGCUCGUUCACCUCCUUCUGCUUCACCUGCAGCUCCUCUAUCCUCCUCUGAGAGAGACACACAGGCUUCGUUCAGAGCGUCUCUCAGGUCCAUCAUCUCAGAGUGGAAUCGGGACAGACGGUCUCUGAUCGCCUUCGCCAGGUCGUCGUUUUCUCCGUGACGACCAGCCAACUCCUUGUUCACACGGUCCAACACUGGAAGAGGACAAAGAGGGAGAGAGAGGACGGGAUCACACCUACAGCUCCUGAUCCUCAUCUCCCUCAGCAUGGCCUGAACCUGCCGAAUCUUCCUCUCCCGCUCCUCGUCGUCCUGCUCCACCUCUGUGUCGUUCAGAGAGGAGCGGUUCGCCAUCAUCAAGAUGUCUAAGAGAACAAACAGUUGACAGUGAACCGUCUGCAGCCAGGUCCUCCACGGAGUGGUUGAGGUUUUGGAGCUGGGCCCAGGCCAUGGAGCUGGCGUUCAGGCUGCCCAGCUGACGAGACACCGAGCGGAAGUUAUCACUCAUCUUAUCCAGAUCCUCCAGAAGCACGAUCACACAGCUGUCACACGCUGCAACACACACGUUUCAUUUAAGAUAUAACACAAUCUAUCUUCAAGCAUAUUUUAACCCCCUGGAAUCGUUUGACUUCUUCAUGCAUUUUAUUGUGUUUUAUUGUGUUUUCUGUGUUCACUGCUUCAGAGUGAUGUUAGGACCAACCACAUAUUUAUAUUAUGACAUUGUUGGGUGACAAAAGUCACGCAGAAAUAAAUUAAUAGAUGUAGAAAUGAAUGAAUGAAUGAAUGAAUGAAGAAAUAAUUAUAAAAUAAAUACAUGUAGAAAUGUAAAAAUAAAUGUUGGAUAAAUAAAUAAAUAAAUACAGAAAUACUUAUAA